rnacentral:rRNA from 2 species
UUGGUCAUUUAGAGGAAGUAAAAGUCGUAACAAGGUCUCCGUAGGUGAACCUGCGGAGGGAUCAUUACUGAGUUUUUAACUCUCCAAACCAUGUGAACUUACCACUGUUGCCUCGGUGGUCGGUGCUGGAAACAGUGCUGCCACCGGUGGACUACUAAACUCUUGUUAAUUUUUGUCAAAUCUGAAUCAAAACUAAGAAAUAAGUUAAAACUUUCAACAACGGAUCUCUUGGUUCUGGCAUCGAUGAAGAACGCAGCGAAAUGCGAUAAGUAAUGUGAAUUGCAGAAUUCAGUGAAUCAUCGAAUCUUUGAACGCACAUUGCGCCCAUUAGUAUUCUAGUGGGCAUGCCUGUUCGAGCGUCAUUUCAACCCUUAAGCCUAGCUUAGUGUUGGGAGACUGCCUAAUACGCAGCUCCUCAAAACCAGUGGCGGAGUCUGUUCGUGCUCUGAGCGUAGUAAUUUUUUAUCUCGCUUCUGCAAGCCGGCCAGACGACAGCCAUAAACCGCACCCUCUCGGGGGGCACUUUUUUAAUGGUUGACCUCGGAUCAGGUAGGAAUACCCGCUGAACUUAAGCAUAUCAAUAAGCGGAGGA